CUUUUAUGGAGAGUUUGAUCCUGGCUCAGGACGAACGCUGGCGGCGUGCCUAAUACAUGCAAGUCGAGCGGAGUUAUUCCUUCGGGGAUAGCUUAGCGGCGGACGGGUGAGUAACACGUAGGCAACCUGCCUGUAAGACCGGGAUAACAUUCGGAAACGAAUGCUAAUACCGGAUAUGCAAU
rnacentral:rRNA from 1 species